rnacentral:lncRNA from 1 species
AUGAUGGUGAAACGGAGACCCAGGAAGUUUUGUGUGGUUCCUGAGUUUAUAGUGACUCAUACUGUAAAUAAGACUGGGAAUCAGAAUGUCACAUCUUCUAAGUGCUCCAAUUUCAGGAGAGUCAAAAUGUUUGUUUCGAUUGAAAACGUCAGAGCGCAGCGUGCGACACGUGGAAAUCCAGGACAGUCUCUAUUUUGUUCCAUAGACAGCUUGGAAAGGUCCCUGCGGCCCAGUGACUGCAGGGUGUUGGUGCUUGCACUGUGCCUCUGUAGGUGUGCCCAGUAUGAGAGUCCUUAUCUGCCUGCAUCAUCUGCAUAUACACAAGCCAGCAAGUUACACCAUCAUGCCCUGCUGUUUGACCAUCUUCCUGACUGAGGAGACUUGGACAGAGCUCCCUUCCAGGCUGGUCCGUGGUGCUCCUUGCUGAGAGCGCGAGCCGGAUUUGCUGGGCUACCUGAGGUUUACCAUGUGCAGAACUAGCUGCGAGUGGCAUCGGGUCAAACAGUUUCAGUUCUGCUCUGUACAGGGUAGUGGUGCCCCGUACGUACUCCUGAAGUUUAUUACAAUUCAGAUGGGCUUUCCCCUGUUAAGAAAAGGUCAUGUGGCCUGAGCCCUGGACUGGGACUUGCAGACGUGCAUAUUUUAAUCCUGCUCUAAACAGGACAGCGUGAUGCUGAGCAAGGUCUCAACCUCGGCCGGCCUCAACGUCCCUGUCAGUAAAGUGGGAAAUGAGCACUCCCCUCCUUCUCCAGGGUGAGCGGGAGAUGCAGUAGUUUCUGCGCGUAGCAUUGGGUGUUGUGCCGGUGAUGAUGAUGGUUCUGUUUAUUUAACACACUUUCCUAUUUUUUUUUUUUUUUAAAUACCAAACUGAUAUGCUCCAUCCAUCAGCAGUGCCCUCUGGGAACAAGUAGCUAAUUAAAGAGGGAGACUUGUGAAAAGACAAACCCCUGGUUAUACAUAGAACAGGUUUUGCCAGUAUGAGUGCCUACGUUUCUG